AACGCCUGACCUCAGGGGAUCCACACGCCUCCGCCUCGCAAAGUGCUGGGAUUACAGCCCAUAGGGGAGACUGUCAGGCCAGCGUGGGGACUAAUGAAUAAAUGCUACACUGUGCCCACUCAGGUGGGUAAGGGCUGGCACUCCUCUACCCCUGGAGUGCGGUGGCUAUGCUGCCCCCCUUGGCAGACACAGUAAGGGGGACUGCACCUGGAGAAGAUGGGCCAGUCAGGAAAGGACUGCUCGCCACUCAUAGCUGUGUGUCACCCCUCCCACCUCCCUCUGUGGAGACGCAAAGUCAAGAGUAGGAAGAAGCCAGCCUCUGAGGUCAUGAUCCCCAGGGGACCUGGAGGACUGAAUGAUGCUGCCCCCGAGGAGGCUGCUGUCUUGUCUUAGGAGGGAGAGCAGGUGAAGUCCCCAUGGGAGGAAGCACCUAGCCCCAUUCCUGCUGAGCAAGAAGAGGUGGCAGGGACCCCAGACUGGGAGAGGCCUCUGAGGACAGCAAAGAGCAUAAGGCCCUGGGACUGGUUCCCCGUGCUCAUGACAGAGCUCUGCCUGGACUGGCUCUCAGCCUCCAACACCCUCAAGACUCCGAACUGUGAAGAAAAAGUUUCCAAUAAUUCCAAGAGUUGCUGCUGCUAUAGGCUUUGCUGCUGCUACAGGCCCUGCUGCUGCCUUUUGGGGCCUCCGUCUUCAGAGAAACCCAGUGUGGCUUCAUCCACACUCCCUGUCCCCACAGCUGCAGGAACAGCACUUCCUGCCACCGAGCCAUGUCACCACAAUGGAUUGUCUCUGGAAGGGACAAGGGGGCCCUGGCCGGCCUUCCAACUGACUCGGUGCCAGGGGAUGGACCAACGUCCCUCUCGUGCUGACAGCCGGGCCACACCCUGGCAAGAGGGCAUUUACAGAAAUGCUGGCGGGAACCGCUGCCAGGGAUGCUGUAGGGUCCUCUGGCAAAAGAAGUCUCAGGUGGCUUCUCAGAGUGUCUGUGGUUCUCUAUCCCAGGCUCUUCCCUAAGAGGGUCUGCCCAGGACUCAGGCCCUUCCUCUAGCAGUGGACUCUCUAGGAAUGUCCUUUCCCAAACCCUCUGCAAAUCCUGUUCCUCGGAGGCCCCACUGCAGCCCUGGCACUUCUCAGGAGCUCGCCCUGCAGAGACCCCGGGGUCCAUCACUCUGCACCUCGCGCAGGAAGCCUGACUCCUCCUUCAGUGCCUCAUGUGUUAAGUCAAACAGCCUGAGGAAGCGAGGGUCGUCGUACUCAAAGCGGCGCCCAUAGGUGAGGGAGGCUAUCACGUUGCUCACUGCUUUAUCCAGGAGGCUGUUGGGGCGAAAGGGUCGUCCUGGGGGCGGGAGAUGCGGGUCAGGGGUCACCUUCCCCGUCCCCCGCCUUCCCAGUUCCCGCCUUGUGCCCCUCUGCCCAUCACCCACCAGCUUGGUCGGCGAAGGCGGCACAGAGGCAGGCGGCCUCCUCGGUCACCCAUUGCUCCAGCGACUUCUUGCCCAGGCCCAAGUUGCGCAAGGUGGAAACGGAGAAGCGCCUCUGCUCGCGCCACGCGGGCCCAUAGCGCGCCAGGAACACCCCUGGGGGCAGGACAGGCAGGUGCGAGUGGCCAUGAAGUCCUUGGCCCCACCCUCUGCCACCCACUGCAACCCAGCGCUACCCAAGGUCUCCCGCAGUCCCUCGCCUGGUCCAGCUGGGCACAGGGCCCACCCUGCUUACCUGCCUUGCUUCCCUGGCUGGGGCAGGUUUUUGCCCCACCCCUUCUCUGCCCACCCUGACCGCCUUUCCACUCAGGGAAGAUCCCGCAUGCCCCGCCCCACCUACGCUGAACCCACGCACAGGCGCUGACGCCGUUCCCCUCUUCGACACCUGAUUCCAGCUGGGAAAGGCGCCAUCCUCACCCACCCGGCUCCUGGCGGGUCUGGGCAGUGGCCCCGCCCACUCGUCGCAAGCCCCGCCCUCAUCCCUAGGCUCACACCUCCCCAGUGCAGGUGGUUUCCUGGCCCGCUGUCCCCACUGGCUGGCCUUUCUGUUUCACAUCCACGACCCCGCGCCCUCUCCGCCCAGCUCGGACUUCGGUCACCGCCCACCCAGGGCCCACGGAAAUGAGGUCUCUGUGCCCACUGCCACUUGCCUUGGGAGCGCGGCCCAAAACCCAGGACCUGGUUGAUGGGCACAGGCGGGCGGUCGGCUGUGUCCUCGCCGUAGGUCACCAGCGCCUCGCGCACGGCCGCCAACCCAUUGAGCACGACCACCGGCGUCCAGGCCAGCUGCAGGCUGAACACGUCCCCGAAGCGGCGCCGCAACUGCAGAGGGAGGGUCAGGGCCUCCAUCAAGCCAGGGUCCCCCCCACCCAGACUGCAGGUCCUAGUCCUGUUUGAGCCUUGGGUGACCCCCGGGGAUACCAGGAGUGAGCAGGUGGAAGGAGGAGACCUGGCCUCAUAAUCCUGAGGUGGGGGUGGGGUUCACACCUUCUAUGAUGGAGGAACUCAGUUUGGAUGCAUCACCCAGCUAUGACCUUAUAAGGGUCACCAAAAUUGCCGAUAGACCCCAGUUAGCAUCCCAUUUUACAGAUGAUGGUCCAUGCCAGUGAGCAGUGAGGCCUGAGGACCCACAGUGCAAAAGGUUUGAACCGGGUCACUGCACACCCUUCAUCCUUGAUUUCCUGAUUUAAACGGCACUCAGGACCCUGACUUGUCUUCCAUUCCUAAGUCCUUUCCUUCUGGUGUCAGCAGAAGGGACUUUGUGCUCCAUAACAUAUUGUGCCCAAUGGGCUUGCACGCCCACUGCCAAGUCCAGCUCCACCUCCAGGCCCUUGCCCUACUCUUCCUUGGUUUUUGGAAAAUCCAGUCCUUCGUGCCCUCCCCCUGGAAGUCCCCCAAACCUGCUUCCCCUUCUCAGCCUGGCUUCUGGUCCAGCCUGUGGUUUCACCCACUACCCGUGUUUGCUGCUGGUGGGGGAUCCUCAGGACUUCUGCCACCCUCCAGGACCUCCUCCCUCACCUGGUCGAAGCAGUAUGGUGUGUUCUUGAAGUCCACAUGCAACAGGUUGCCCAGCCCCGGCAGUGGCAGGGGACCUGGCGGGUAGCGUGCAGCCCAGCGUUGGCGCCGGUGCAUCAGGUCCACCAGGAGCAGGAAGAUGGCCACUGUCACAGCCAGGGGCACCAGUGCAUCUAGCUCCAUAGCUGCCUCACUGCCCCCUGGGCUCCUCUGGACACACCUGGCUCCCCCACCGCACCAGGCACAGAGGACGAGGCAGGACACUCUCAGCACACCAAGUGCGUGAUCAUUCCCUUAUAAAGGAAGCUGAUCAUGGCCUUUGCCCUCUGCUGUGAGCCAACCUGCUGUUUUGAUUGUACUGCCAGUGGGUACAGGGUCAGGCCAGGGCGGGUAGGGGCUGCUCCAGAGGUCUUUGCCCCUGCUGCCCGCUCCAGGCCCUUACCCAGGGUAGGGCAGUGGAGGGGCCUGGUCGGAGAAGUCACUCCCUCUCCCCACUCCCAGCUUCUCAAGCCCGCACAGGCUUCUGGGAUAACCAAGGUCUCAGUGCACCCUGCCAUCCACCUCUCUGCUAGGCUCAUACACCCUAAUGUGGUCACAACCCCUCCUCCAGAACAUGGCCUUCCCCUUUCCUUACCCCACCUACCCAUUCCAGAGUGGCCUUUACCACCCUUAUCUGUCACUGGCACUUACCUGGGGCCUUAGGGAGCUCAUGAUGAUCAGAGACGCCAUGGGCCUGGUCCCUUCACACUGCACUCUUGACAUGCACAGACGCUAUGCACACCCCUGACGGUGCACAGACCUCUUGUCCACUCCCAGACACUUGUCCACACUUGCAGGGACACGAUCACACACCCACAAAAUCACCCACACGAAAACAGUACUCACAUGCACACAGACUCACACUGACACUCGGCACACGCAUUGUCACACACACACAUACAGACCCAGCACCAAGUACCGCACUUCUCAGCCAUGCCUGAGGUUUCCUGCGUGGGAUUUCUCCUGUCCAGAGGCUGCUCCCAGUGAGCCUCAAAGCUGUCACCUGGAUCCCAGCCCAGCCCGCAUUCCUGGGCUCCGGCCUGGCCAUGGCUUCUUGUUUGCAACAGGGCUGUUCCCAGAGCUUCCAGUUGGUAACCUGAAGGCCCUUGCCCCAGCCUGUGACAACAUCCUUCAGGGCUGCCUGAGGGCCGUCGUCCUCCACUGCUUUCUGGCCUCCAUGUUUCUGAUUAGAAAUCUGGUGGGAACGUUAUGGAGGAUCCUUUGUUCAGGAUAUGUUGACUU